rnacentral:lncRNA from 1 species
UUUGCACCUCGCUGGCUUGCGAACAGGCUUUGGGGCAUCACCCCUGUCCGGGCACGUAGUCCUCUUGUGCCCCUGCCGCCGACAUAUGCUGCAGAACCUUGUCCGUUUGCUGCGGAACCUUAAGUUGCUCAUCAUCCGCCCCGAGUCAGCACCUGAACCUCUGACAUUGCGUUCAGCACCCUGAUUGUUGCCCUCCCCAACUGCAAAACUGGCAAACCGAAUGUCAUGCACGGGACAACAGACCAGAAUGCCAUUGCAAAAUUAUAUGCUUUAUAACUUGAUGCUCAGGCUGGAUGUUCCCUAUUAGAUUAACAUACUCUUCAGUGCCAUUGCCACCUGAUGCACCUGAAGCAUGUGUGCCUGGGUGCCUACAUAGGCAUUCCAAAGUUGCAUCAAGUAGGUUUCUAACUGUCUUGCUCAACAUUUUACAAAAUAUUUGCCAGAUGUCAAAAUAAUCUCCCAAUGGUUUCAAAUGCCACGCACCUCCUGCUGCAGGACCGCCUCGACGAUUAGCUGCACAUGAAGACUCCCCUGCAGCCCUAACUGUAGUACAAGAUCAUCCAGUCAUUGUAUGUUUUUGGUAGUACAUACAUGCAGUUAGAAAUAGGCGUAUGAUGUGCAGUAAAAAAACGAAAUAGGCGAGUCAGGGUACUUAUUAUUCCAGGGAACACAUAUGCUUCACUCUGGCCACCGGCAUUGCCCCAACUGCAAAUUCUGUUCUCCCGGCUGAGUCUCCAGGAGGCACAGCUCUCCCACCUGCUG